AUGCAUAGCUCCCGAAUCGCCAGCCCAUGGGCGCGGCAAACUGCUCCCAUGGCUACGAGGCAGGAGUGACCUUCAAUCCAGCGUUUGUGUUUGGGAAACUUAUUUGGCUGAUUUGAUUGUACCCUAGCAGCUGGUGUUCACGCGCUCAAGAGAUGGGUUCGUUAUCUUAUGUGCACGUAUACUGCCUGGCUUUUCUAUGCGCAAGAAUGUAACCACUAAGAAGAGUUGUAAACAAAGUAAGGAGAGAAAUAAAAACCCCAGGAAAAGUUUUCCUGGGAGGCUUUUUGCAAGAGGCUUGUAAAGCUCUCUAGCUACCACAGACCUGGCGUUCUGUUUCCUUUCCUGCGUCGUCACCACAGCUGGUGACCCCGACGUGAUGCCCCUCUACUCACCGGCUGGAUACGCCGAGCGCGCCCGCGGCUGUUUGCCGCCCCUUAUUCAUCAUCAGAGAAAACGGAUGCCAGCUGAACAGCAUUCAAUGUACCAUGCAUUUACUGGCACAAUAGGGAUUAUUUUUGUGUUUUAUGGCAAAAAUUGUUGUUAAAAAUUGCAUACCAACAGUCUUUGGAAGCAAGGACAUGGAAGGUUAACCCACUCCCCAUAUUGCCCAUGGGAUCCUUCUGGCUACCUCAGAUUUCUAGCCAGAGGGCUGGGGAGGGAGGAAAGCAAUUAGACACCUGAGGUUGUACCGAGUGGACUCCUCAAAAGUGGGUGUGCUUGUCCCGGUUUGUUGCUCCAAAGCUCUGUAAUAAAGUUAUUUUACUGGAAGAGUGUACAUGGCAUACAUUGAAUAAUAA